rnacentral:rRNA from 1 species
GCCUACGGGGGGCAGCAGUGGGGAAUAUUGGACAAUGGGCGAAAGCCUGAUCCAGCAAUGCCGCGUGAGUGAUGAAGGCCUUCGGGUCGUAAAGCUCUUUUACCAGGGAUGAUAAUGACAGUACCUGGAGAAUAAGCUCCGGCUAACUCCGUGCCAGCAGCCGCGGUAAUACGGAGGGAGCUAGCGUUGUUCGGAAUUACUGGGCGUAAAGAGUACGUAGGCGGUUAUUCAAGUCAGAGGUGAAAGCCCGGGGCUCAACCCCGGAACUGCCUUUGAAACUAGAUAACUAGAGUCUUGGAGAGGUUAGUGGAAUUCCGAGUGUAGAGGUGAAAUUCGUAGAUAUUCGGAAGAACACCAGUGGCGAAGGCGACUAACUGGACAAGUACUGACGCUGAGGUACGAAAGCGUGGGGAGCAAACAGGAUUAGAUACCCUGGU